GCUAUUCCCUCAGCUUAGUGUUUAACAGUCCUCGUGCGCUGCUUUGCACCACUAGCCAAUUACUGACGACUCAUCAGUGAUCGUUCUUUAGUCUUUACUUAGCUUCUCUGUCGCUCUAGCGCUAAGUGCAUAGAGGACUUCGACAUCGAUCGCUCAAGGUGAUGCCUCGUCUUGGGGAAAGAAAAGUGUUUCUCGCUAACCCCUCUUACUU
rnacentral:lncRNA from 1 species